rnacentral:lncRNA from 1 species
GGUUAUUGCGAAGUGCCGUGGCUGCCGGCGGGCGCUGCGGGACUCUCUGCAAUGGGACCCGAGCAGCUCUAGAGGGAGGCGGCGGCCCCAGAAGGCCGUUGGCUGAGAGAGACCAGGAGCCCUCGGAGCCGCCGCGCGCAUAGCGCUGUGGAGCAAGAAGCCAACCGCAGCGCGGGUCGACACGCCAGUAUCUGGCACCGGCAGGAGGCGCGGAACUUAGCUGCCCCAUCGGAACCCCGCCCGGAGGAAGCUGAGGGCCGAGAAAGGAUGAAUUCCGGACCGGGUCGCCCAGCCACAAGUGGAAACCUGGGCUCUCUGGAAAACGUUCUGAUCUCGAUCUGGCUAUCUCUGAAACAAAACUCCAGCCCCGCAAACCUCCCAAAGUUCAGUACACGUCCCCGUCCUCACCCCUGCCCUCCGGGCCACCUGCAGCGGGGGACUUACCGGCGCCUCGGGUCUCCUCCUCCCGACCCAGCGCGUCGCGGACACAGCUGGCGGCCAACAGGAGGCUUGGGCGCUCGACGGCGCCGGAACCUGUGAGACCGUCGCUCUGGGCGGGCUGCCGUGCGGGGUGGCAUCCUCUGCGGUGACUUCUGCUGUCUUUUGGGUCCGCCAGGAUUCCAAAAUCCCAGGCGGGUCGCUAGAAUUAUCCAUCUUCGUGGACAGGAAGCCCCAGAACGAACCACAUCUGUCCCACUCUGCUUCCGCCCUCCUUCCCCUUCGCAAGCUCCUGGCUGGGAUGGAGACAUCGGACGAGCUCGGAGAUCCCGACCUCUCAGGGGUCACUCGCAGCCGAACAGCCUGGAAUAUGGCCUUGUGGGCCCUUCCCGCCCAACCCCCUAGGACCCCACUGCUCAUCUUGUCAACCAGUUUCUGAGCCCCUACCCUGGCUGCAGCACGUGCUCGCACAGGCGCGCUGAGCUACUAACAUAGAAUCAAAAGCAGGGAGUUGGGUGUUCUUGCUUUCCCGCUGAAACCUAGAAUGUAAACAAGCCCUAGACCGUCAGCUGUGGGUGGGUAGGGGCCUCUCCCUGCCUAGAACUGCUCUUGCCAUGGAGAUGAAGAAAUUUACGGAAUGGCUUGGGAAUGAGAAGAUUCAGGUGGGACCAUGGAAGCAAAGCUUGUUCUUUUGUGGAUGCACACCUGGGGAGUACAUCUGUGCAUUUAUCCUCUGUUCACAGCUGAGGCAACUGAGACUGAAACAGGCAAAGUGGUUUGUCCAAGAGCAAAGCCAGGGGCAGGGUGAGAAAUUGUUCAUUCAUUCAAUCAUGCAUCUAUUCUUGGCAAGGCACCAAAGUCUGUGUGGUGGUGGUGCACAGAGAUGGAUAUUGUCUAUGUGGCCUCUACCUUGCAAGAGCCUGCAGUCUCUGAGACAAUAAGCGGUUCAUGAAUUAUGCCUCCUAGAGUGCUCAGACAGCAAGGACCAGGGUUCAGAGGAGGAGAGGGUGAGAGUUCCCUAGGAUUCCUGGAGAGAGUUGGAUUCAGGGCCCAUGAGGGAUGGGUAGAAUUUUGGCAAAUGGAAGUGUGGCUAGUGGGAAUGACAGACAUGAAGGUGGGCAAAUUUAAGAUGUUUUGGAGAAUAUCUGACUACAGCAGGGCCGUUGUGGGGAAAGGGCAGGAGAGUAGAAAGGAGCGGGUUUCCCAGGAUGCUGAAUGCCCAGCCAAAAUACAUGGAUGAAUCCAUGAAUACAUGGAUUUCAGCCCAAGGGCAAUGGGGGUUGGACUUAUCUCUGACUUCUCGUAUUCACUCAUUAUUCUAACAUGUGCUGUACCUAGUGCUAAUAUGUGCUUAGUCUACAGGUAUUUUUCCACACAUCAGCUUUUCUAACCUUCGCGUCACUCUAAUGAGAUACAUAUUAUUCCUCCUUUAAUGGAUUAAAAAAUUGAUGCACUUAGAGGUUGAGACUUGCCUACGAUCAUGUAGCUAAUAACUGACAUAUGUGAGAUUUGAAAGUAGGAUUCCUGACUUCUACAUGGCGACAAAUGGAAAGAACGAGUGUAGAUUCUGGAGAGUGUACUCAGGAUGCCCAUCAAUAACAUGCCCCUCACCUUAGCUCAGUGUUGUUCCAGAAAAAAUAACUACAUAGGAGUGAAAUCUUUUUUUUUUUCUUUUGAGACAGGGUCUCACUCUGUUGCCCAGGCUGGAGUGCAGUGGCAUGAUCUUGGCUCACUGGUUCAAGCAAUUCUCCUGCCUCAGCCGCCCAAGUAGCUGGGAUUACAGGCGUAUGCCACCACACCUAAUUUUUGUAUUUUUAUUUAUAUUUAUUUAUUUAUUUAUUUGAGAUGGAGUUUUG